rnacentral:rRNA from 1 species
UGGGGAAUAUUGCACAAUGGGCGCAAGCCUGAUGCAGCCAUGCCGCGUGUGUGAAGAAGGCCUUCGGGUUGUAAAGCACUUUCAGCGAGGAGGAAGGUGGUGAGCUUAAUACGCUCAUCAAUUGACGUUACUCGCAGAAGAAGCACCGGCUAACUCCGUGCCAGCAGCCGCGGUAAUACGGAGGGUGCAAGCGUUAAUCGGAAUUACUGGGCGUAAAGCGCACGCAGGCGGUUUGUUAAGUCAGAUGUGAAAUCCCCGGGCUCAACCUGGGAACUGCAUUUGAAAACUGGCAAGCUAGAGUCUCGUAGAGGGGGGUAGAAUUCCAGGUGUAGCGGUGAAAUGCGUAGAGAUCUGGAGGAAUACCGGUGGCGAAGGCGGCCCCCUGGACGAAAGGCUGACGCUCAGGUGCGAAAAGCGUGGGGAGCAAAACAGGAUUAGAUACCCUGGUAGUCCACGCUGUAAAACGAUGUCGAUUUUGGAGGUUGUGCCCUUGAGGCGUGGCUUCCGGAGCUAACGCGUUAAAUCGACCGCCUGGGGAGUACGGCCGCAAGGUUAAAAACUCAAAAGG